ensembl:snRNA U2 U2 spliceosomal RNA
CCCGCUUCUCGGCCUUUUGGCUAAGAUCAAGUGUAGUAUCUGUUCUUAUCAGUGAGUAAACCUUAAAGGGCAUAUCCCAUCUUGUACAGAACCACAAAUACCCUAGACUUCAUUGUUUGCUGUCCAAAAAUGCCUCAUGCCCUGUAGGAUUCUCAUCUUAGAAACAUAUUUUUAGCCUAGACUAUAAUAGUUAAGUAUACUUU